UUGCUAGCUAGCAUAUAUACCAAAAUUGGAAUGAUAAAAGAGAUUAGCAUGGCCCCUAUACAAGGGUGACACACAAAUUCAUGGAGCAGUCCAAAGUUUUU
rnacentral:snRNA from 1 species